UAAGUAAAAAUCACAUAGAUCAUGAACAAGAUAGUCAAAACAUAGAAGGUACCUUGAAUAACCAAAGAGAUGUAGGUUCAAAUCAAUUAAAUGUUGAUGUGCAAGUGGUGGGAGAAGAAAAAAAAAUCUGCUCGAGGAUCAUGGCUUGCAGCGGUGGCAGAAGAAAUAACUUGUUAAUCUUAUUAUUGUUUGUCUAACAAGUUGAUAUGUUAUCGAUGAAUAAUUCCCUUGUAGCCUUAUCAACAAAUUUCAAUACUGAUCCUGCACCUUCUCAAGGUUCUGCAAUUGUAUACAUAUUUACAUGUGCAUUCUAGAAUAUGUUUCCAUCUCAUUAAAUCAUAUAUGUUUGAAUAAUAUAUAAUGACAUGUAUUUCCUUUCCAUGAAUGUCCUAAUUGGCUGUUGACACCUUGCAAAGAGGAAACAAAGAGAUGAAUUGCUGUCAUUGUAAUGGUGACACUUGUAGAACAGUCCACCGAAGGUUGCUGGGUGAGCACCACCUCUUGACCAAUCCACCGAAGGUUGCUGGGUGAGCAUGGUGGGGAAGUAAUGGUGACACUUGUAGAACAGAUGUUCAAAUCAAUAACAUGAAAAAAAA